GCGGGCAUCGUAUAAUGGCUAUUACCUCAGCCUUCCAAGCUAAUGAUGCGGGUUCGAUUCCCGCUGCCCGCUCCA
rnacentral:tRNA from 1 species